rnacentral:rRNA from 1 species
UACGUAGGGUGCAAGCGUUGUCCGGAAUUAUUGGGCGUAAAGAGCUCGUAGGCGGUCUGUCGCGUCUGCUGUGAAAACCUGGGGCUUAACCCCGGGCCUGCAGUGGGUACGGGCAGACUAGAGUGUGGUAGGGGAGACUGGAAUUCCUGGUGUAGCGGUGAAAUGCGCAGAUAUCAGGAAGAACACCAAUGGCGAAGGCAGCUCUCUGGGACGGUACUGACACUGAGACGCGAAAGCGUGGGGAGCAAACAGG